AUGAACGGGAUUAGUGAUGUGAGACAGGAGGAGGUGAUUGGGUGCAGCGAGACGACAAAGGGCAAGAUUCGGAAAGGGUUUGUUGCUGCUGUGUUUGUAGUUUUCUUAAAGAUCAAAACUAUGUUUUCCAUGAAAAAACCAUGUUGUAUCACUUUUUCAGGCUUGUCUGGUUUCAUAAGCAUCGACUGUGGAUAUACCACAGACCCGACUUACACAGAUUCCAAGAUAGGUAUAUCAUAUGUAUGGGAUGAGGGUUUCACUGAUACAGGACUGAUCCACAAUGUUGACAUGGAGAAUUUGCAACCCGACCUUGCAUACCGGUACCAUAAUCUUCGCUUCUUUCCAAGCGGAGAACGUAACUGCUAUACACUGCGGUCCCUAAAACCGGGUGGCAAGUACCUUGUUAGGGCUGCAUUUGGCUAUGGUGACUAUGACAAGCUAAAUAGGCUUCCUACCUUUGAUCUUUACUUCGGGGCCAACUACUGGACAACAGUGACCAUUGUCAAUUCUAGUACAGCGUAUGUGUUUGAGAUAAUUGCUUUGUGCCCUGCCGACUUCCUGCAGAUUUGCUUGGUGAAUAUAGGAUCCGGAACACCUUUCAUCUCAGGGCUUGAUUUGAGGUCACUCAAAGAAAAUCUUUAUCCGCAGGCCAAUGUGGGACAGGCCCUUGUUUUGCUUAGCUUUUUUCAUGACACAGUUGGUUUUGGACCCAAUCGCUACCACUUCGGAACAAACUAUGGGCACAUUAGGUUCCCAGAUGACCCCUACGACCGUAUGUGGCAAAGAUACCAAGAUGUUCCCAGCUGGACAGAUGUAACCAACAAAUCGGAUGAGCCUGUCCAGAAUUCUCCAAACAACAACUACGAUGCACCAUCGGCAGUGAUGCGUAGUGCAUCCACUCCAGUGAAUGGUUCAAGGAUGGACAUAUCCUGGAGUGCAGAUGCAUCCAUGGGUGUUGGCGUUGACACCAAGUACUCUCUUGCACUCUACUUUGCUGAGCUGGAGGCUGUCCAAGGGUUGAGGCAAGUUGAUGUAUCAGUGGACAACAACCAAUUAGUUGCUGGAUUCAGUCCAACCUACUUGAUUGCUACUGUUCUCCCAGCGAUUGUCCAAGGCUCAGGCGAGCACAGCAUCUCCCUCCUGGCAACAUCAAAAUCUGUGCUCCCGCCUUUGAUCAACGCAAUGGAGAUAUUCAUGGUGUGGCCCCUGAAUGAAUCUACUACUGCAUCUUUAGAUGGUAUACUAUGGCAUCCUCUUCUUAUGUUGGUAGCUCUAAUUUGA
rnacentral:rRNA from 1 species